rnacentral:rRNA from 1 species
AACGGCCGUACCAUGCUGAAUAUACCGGUUCUCGUUAGAUCACCGAAGUCAAGCAUCAAUGGGAGCGGUCAGUACUUGGGUGGGUGACCACCUGGGAACACUGCGUGCCGUU